UACUGGUUGAUCUCCAGAUCUACCACUCCCCCUCCAUCAACUAAUCUUAUUCUUGGAUCUUGUUCGUGAAAUUGAUAAAAAUCAAUAUUUUUAUGUAUUUUUAUAAUUUCUAUGUGUAUUAAAUUACUAUAGUCUGAUAUAUAUUUCCUUCAUUUUAUUUCUUUUAUUUAUUGUUUUCUUUCUCAUAUUUCCUUCAGAUGAACAU
rnacentral:lncRNA from 1 species